AUCGCUUCUCGGCCUUUUGGCUAAGAUCAAGUGUAGUAUCUGUUCUUAUCAGUUUAAAAAUCCAACAAUACAAUUUAUCAAAGCGUAUAUUUAAAACCAAAAGAAAUGGAAAAUUU
rnacentral:snRNA from 1 species